GACGAACGCUGGCGGCGUGCUUAACACAUGCAAGUCGAACGGAGUGGCGAACGGGUGAGUAACACGUGGGUGACCUGCCCUGCACUUCGGGAUAAGCCUGGGAAACUGGGUCUAAUCCCGGAUAGUGUGGGAUGGGCCCGGGGCCUAUCAGCUUGUUGGUGGGGGAAUGGCCUACCAAGGCGGCGACGGGUAGCCGGCCUGGGAGGGUGGACGGCGACAUUGCGACUGAGGCACGGACCAGAGUCCUACGGGAGGCAGUAGGGGGGAAUAUGGCACAGUGGGCGGAAGCGUGAUGCAGCGGUGCCGCGUGGGGGAUGACGGCCUUCGGGUUGUGAACUCCUUUCAGCAUCGACGCGGUAGAUGGAGAAGAAGCACCGGCUAACUACGUGCCAGCAGCCGCGGUAAUUC
rnacentral:rRNA from 1 species